UUCCGUUAAGGAGAUCUUUUGGCACCUCUAAAAAUGGUGCAGAAUAAGGGGUGGGCAAGUCUGGUGUCAGCCGCCGCGGUAAUACCAGCACCCCGAGUGGUCGGGACGUUUAUUGGGCCUAAAGCAUCCGUAGCCGGUUCUACAAGUCUUCCGUUAAAUCCACCUGCUUAACAGAUGGGCUGCGGAAGAUACUAUAGAGCUAGGAGGCGGGAGAGGCAAGCGGUACUCGAUGGGUAGGGGUAAAAUCCGUUGAUCCAUUGAAGACCACCAGUGGCGAAGGCGGCUUGCCAGAACGCGCUCGACGGUGAGGGAUGAAAGCUGGGGGAGCAAACCGGAUUAGAUACCCGCGUAGUCC
rnacentral:rRNA from 1 species